rnacentral:rRNA from 1 species
CUAGCAUAUCAAUAAGCGGAGGAAAAGAAACCAACAGGGAUUGCCCUAGUAACGGCGAGUGAAGCGGCAACAGCUCAAAUUUGAAAUCUGGCUCUUUCAGAGUCCGAGUUGUAAUUUGCAGAGGGCGCUUUGGCUUUGGCAGCGGUCCAAGUUCCUUGGAACAGGACGUCACAGAGGGUGAGAAUCCCGUACGUGGUCGCUAGCUAUUGCCGUGUAAAGCCCCUUCGACGAGUCGAGUUGUUUGGGAAUGCAGCUCUAAAUGGGAGGUAAAUUUCUUCUAAAGCUAAAUAUUGGCCAGAGACCGAUAGCGCACAAGUAGAGUGAUCGAAAGAUGAAAAGCACUUUGGAAAGAGAGUCAAACAGCACGUGAAAUUGUUGAAAGGGAAGCGCUUGCAGCCAGACUUGCUUGCAGUUGCUCAUCCGGGCUUUUGCCCGGUGCACUCUUCUGUAGGCAGGCCAGCAUCAGUUUGGGCGGUGGGAUAAAGGUCUCUGUCACGUACCUCUCUUCGGGGAGGCCUUAUAGGGGAGACGACAUACCACCAGCCUAGACUGAGGUCCGCGCAUCUGCUAGGAUGCUGGCGUAAUGGCUGUAAGCGGCCCGUCUUGAAACACGGACCAAGGAGUCUAACAUCUAUGCGAGUGUUUGGGUGUCAAGCCCGAGCGCGUAAUGAAAGUGAACGGAGGUGGGAACCCGCAAGGGUGCACCAUCGACCGAUCCUGAAGUUUACGGAAGGAUUUGAGUAAGAGCAUGGCUGUUGGGACCCGAAAGAUGGUGAACUAUGCUUGAAUAGGGUGAAGCCAGAGGAAACUCUGGUGGAGGCUCGCAGCGGUUCUGACGUGCAAAUCGAUCGUCAAAUUUGGGCAUAGGGGCGAAAGACUAAUCGAACUAUCUAGUAGCUGGUUCUGCA